UACGUGAGGGGCAAGCGUUGUCCGGAUUUAUUGGGCGUAAAGAGCGUGUAGGCGGCCAGGUAGGUCCGUUGUGAAAACUAGAGGCUUAACCUCUAGACGUCGAUGGAAACCAUCUGGCUAGAGUCCGGAAGAGGAGAGUGGAAUUCCUGGUGUAGCGGUGAAAUGCGCAGAUAUCAGGAAGAACACCCGUGGCGAAGGCGGCUCUCUGGGACGGUACUGACGCUGAGACGCGAAAGCGUGGGGAGCAAACAGG
rnacentral:rRNA from 1 species